rnacentral:rRNA from 1 species
UACGUAGGGUGCAAGCGUUGUCCGGAAUUAUUGGGCGUAAAGAGCUCGUAGGCGGUCUGUCGCGUCGGCUGUGAAAUCCCGAGGCUCAACCUCGGGUCUGCAGUCGAUACGGGCAAACUAGAGUAUUGCAGGGGAGACUGGAAUUCCUGGUGUAGCGGUGAAAUGCGCAGAUAUCGGGAGGAACACCGGUGGCGAAGGCGGUUCUCUGGGCCUUACCUGACGCUGAGGAGCGAAAGCGUGGGGAGCGAACAGG